CUUGUUUCCUGCAGGCUUCCUCUGUAGGCCACACCUCCAACAGAGAACAGCUAUACUGAGUAGAGAAAGGGCGGAGCUAGCUAGAAGAAGAUUCAAUCUGCCUUUUCCACAGAACCCGUGAGGAAGUGAGCCCAGGUCCUCCUGUUUACAAAGAGACGCUGCAGGCUCUCCCCCCAGAACCUGUGGCUCAUCAGGAGUCUGUGCAAGGCCAGGACCAUCUGUGUGAAGGCCUUGUGGCUUCACACUCGCCUUGGCUGGUAACACAGCCUUGCAAUGGAGCUGUGUUACCAAGGAGUCCACAUGGCUGCAGCUUUCACCGGAACCCCCUGAGGUGGAACUUCAUCAACCAAUACAACUCCGAAUUCAGCUG